AGAAUCAACGCUGGCGGCGUGCCUAACACAUGCAAGUCGAACGUGAAAGGGGCUUCGGCCCUGAGUAAAGUGGCAAACGGGUGAGUAACGCGUGGGUGAUCUACCUCUGGGUGGGGGAUAACACUCCGAAAGGAGUGCUAAUACCGCAUGACAUCCUGUUUUGGAUGAACGGGGAUCAAAGCCGGGGAUCGCAAGACCUGGCGCCUGGGAGGGGAGCCCGGCGUCCGAUUAGCUAGUUGGUGGGGUAAAAGCCUACCAAGGCGACGAUCGGUA
rnacentral:rRNA from 1 species